rnacentral:rRNA from 1 species
UACGAAGGGGGCUAGCGUUGUCCGGAUUUACUGGGCGUAAAGAGCGCGCAGGCGGUCGUUCAAGUCGCGUGUGAAAGCCCCCGGCUCAACUGGGGAGGGUCACGCGAUACUGAUCGACUCGAAGGCAGGAGAGGGUAGUGGAAUUCCCGGUGUAGUGGUGAAAUUCGUAGAUAUCGGGAGGAACACCGGUGGCGAAGGCGGCGACCUGGGUAGAUACUGACGCUGAGGUGCGAAAGCGUGGGGAGCAAACAGG